CGCGGAAGAUGUAACGGGGCUAAACCAUGCACCGAAGCUGCGGCAGCUUCGCUUAGGUGUUGUUGGGUAGGGGAGCGUUCUGUAAGCCGUUGAAGGUGACCUGU
rnacentral:rRNA from 1 species